CCUCCUUCCAGCAAGAAGCUGCUCCCCAGUUCAGACCCAGCCGAGAGCCACAGCCGCCGGGAGGCAGUCGGAGCGCUGGGCACCUCUCUGCGCACCCACGAAGCCCCAGGAAGACUUCAUCAAGCCAGAGCCCCAGGAUCCCUGACCCCUGACCCCACAGUGACCCGGAAAUGCUUGGUGGUGCCAGAAGCAGCGCUUUCCAAUUCUGAAGGCCCUCAAAAUGCUUCCCCAGCCCACCUUCCUCCUUUCCUGGGGCGUGGGAGUCGUGGGGAGAUGAGAGGCAGAAAGAUGAGUACAUCAUCCGGAGGCCUUUCCUCACCGGAAAAUGAGAGGAAAUCCUCUUCCACGGCUUAAAAACCAAAAGGCGCUGCCCAGACUCCUCUGGCAGGGGUCUCCCAUCAUCCCCCGCGAGGGCUUCCCAUUAUGCCCCGCGGGACUUUCCCAUCAUCCACCGAGGCUCUUCCCACCCAAGCGGGAAGUUGGCGCAGGUGCCGCUCUGCAGGGAGGAGCGAGGGCCUUGCCCUCGGGAGAGUGGAGACCAGCAGUGGCCACCGUUCCUCUGCACGUCGUUUCCCCCGCUGGAGUGCAAUGGCGCGAUCUCGGCUCACCGCAUCCUCCACCUCACUGUCAGAUAAAAAGCAGGGACUUUCAACAAAAUGAGUUCAGUCUCGUCUUUACUAUAGAACGAUGGGAUUGCUUAUUACAAUAAUUGCACUAUGGUAAAUUUACCAAUUUCGUAUAUAUGCGUAUUUAUAAACAAACAUAUUAGGGUGUAUAGAUAGAAAAAGUUCUAUCUACAUGUAGAAUCAAAAACAGUUUUUAAAAUAGAUUUGAUAGCAUCACCCAUUGCCAUUUAGGAGAUAGGGACAGACCCCGGAUUGGAGCCCUAGCUCCAUAUCCUUCUUUCUGAAGUCAGUCUACUCAUCUGUAAAAUGGGUAGUUGUGAGUUCAAAAUCGGAUAUUCAUAAUGAGAGUAGCACGGUGCCUAGCACACAGUGGCACUCAGUGGAUGGGAGCUAUUACUAUUAAUUGUACUGUUUUUAAUCUUGUCAUAGGUUAAGCAUCUUUUUUCUAUCAGUGUGUUUGGGGGGAAAUUUUAAUUCAAGUUUAUCUUAAUCAUUUUCAGUAGUGUUUUUUUUGUUGUUGUUGAAUUCAACUUCCAAGGAUGAUUCAGCCUGAUAGUUGCUGAUUACAAUCAGAAGUUAGUCUGUGAUGAACAGGUUCGUUUCAAUGCUCAUGUUUACUAGCAGUAAUACACAUAACAGUGGGGAGAUACUGAAGCUUCUAGAGAUAUAUCGACAGGUAGAUUCUUAAGUGUAAGUAGGUAUUUGAACUGUUUGUGGAUUAUGUCUUAUAAAAUUGGCAACCAUCAAGGAGGAAAACGCCAGAUAUGCACACACCCAUACCUGAGGUAUGGAGGUCAGUGGAAGGCUACUGAAACACAGUUGUCAAGAGAGAAAUGUAAAUUAUUUGUCACCCAGGAAGUGAGAUUAUUCAGUGAUGCAUCAUAACCAGUAGGACAUACCAGUGGACACCAGUGUGGAAACAAGAGAUGUCAGAAAAAUUGGACAGACUUGAAUUUCAAGUUGGGUAGCAACUCACGGACAUAGCUCAGUGCUUGGCACACAGUAAGAGCUCAACCAGCACAGUUCAUCAAAUUGAAUGUCAGAUAUUUGCAACAGAGCUGGGCUUUAUUCAGCACUAGGAAAAGAGAAAAAAGUGAUAUGAAUUUUUUUCUUUUUCUUGUUUUUUUAUUCUUAAAUCAGACUCCAUUUUCCAAGGGCUCUCUCAGGAUAUCGGUUGCUUAACUACGUCGAAGUGUCUUCUGGGUCAUAUACUAGGGGAUUACAAGGAAAUGCGAAAGAAAUUACAGACAGAUUUGGAGGCAAAUUCUACAUUAAUCUACACUGUUAAAAAUAAAUUACCAGGGCCAGGCACAGUGGCUCACGCCAGCACUUUGGGAAGCCUAGGUGUGUGGAUUGCCUGAGCUCAGAAGUUCAAGACCAGCCUGGCCAACAUGGUGAAACCCCGUCUCUACUAAAAAUACAAAAAAUUAGCUGGGCGUGGUGGCAGGUUCCUGUAAUCCCAGCUACUCGGGAGGCUGAGGCAGGAGAAGUGCUUGAACCCGGGAGGCAGAGGUUGCAGUCAGUUGAGAUCGCACCACUGCACUCCAGCCUGGGCAACAAGAGCAAAACUCUGUCUCAAAAAAAAUAAAAAAAUUACCAGAUCUGUUAUGCCUCUGGCUACAUGUUAAUCCUUCAUUCCAAAGUAGAUGUCACUCUUUCCUACUGGUGGAUAUGUGAGGUUUGUUCUAUUUUUGAUACUGCAGAUAACUUCACUCUAAGCAGGAGUUGUGGUGGGAGACCACAACUCCUGGUUAGAAGAAAGUACGUGGGGCUAUACUUUUCAGGGUCUUAGAAUGGAUCCGCUUUUCUAAAAAAAAAAAGGAGCAAGGAAAGAGGUGGCAUAAUGAACCACAUGCCCAUGAUUUUCCCAGAAUAAGGUUCCCCCUGCCCAACUUAUAGGAAGGUCAUGACCAAAUAAGAUAAUGAGGAUGAAAUGAUUUGGAAGUGCCAUAGAAAUGUAACAUGUAUAUUUAGCUCAGAUUUUUAAAUCUUUUAAUUAUUUAAUAUUUGAUGCAUACAAAAGAAUAUAUAUUCACAUAUGCCAGCAAAGUAAUACAGUGAACACCUGUGAACCCCCUGCCCAAAGUAAAUAGAUGAAUGAGUGAAUAAAAUCAAUAUGAACAUCUGAAUGCAUAGCUCUUUGUCCACAUCUCAGAUUCAACUCUUUGGAAAUCAGCUUUAUAGAAUUGAGAAAUGGCUGAGCCUAAAUACAUGUUGCUGCAUUGCCUCUGAGAAUGGCCAGACCUAUCCCCACUCUCACCGAAACAGAGUGUGUGGUUCACUGCUCCCUCACCUACUGUAAGUCAGGUUUCUCGUUUGCUAAUCUGAUGGAUGGACAAGGCAGCGUCUCAUAGUGGCUUUAGUUUGUAUUACUAUUUCCGCGAUUAUUUGAGAAGAUCAGCGUUUCUCACCAAAUGCUUACUCUUCGCCUACGAUGACCCUUAUCAAUUAUGUGGAUCACUUUUUUGCAGAACACCUUCAUAUAUCUGUAUAUGUUGUUUUCUCUUUCUGAAACGUGAUGCCCAUGCUUCUCUACCUGCCCACGACUCAUCAACUUCAGCACCUUACCAGAUGUAACCUUCCUGGGAUGCUGUUUCUAUGCUUCCAGCCCCUUCAUAGCAUCUCUCUGUUGUGCUUCUGAUGCACUCUCUACACAGCUGUACCUGUGUUUCAGGUCAGGCUCCCUCAGCACCUCCCAGGGCCUCCACCCUACAGUCUGGCACAGAACUUGAUACAUAGCUCAAAUUAUCAAAUAUUACUGAAUGAUUUAGAAAAUUGGGAGCAUAUAGUAAAGUACAAUGAAGAAAACAAAGAUAAUCAAUAAUCUUACUUCCCAAAGAUAGUAACUACUCCCAUUUUGGCGUGAAUUCUUUCAGGCUUUAAAAUGCAUAUGUAUGUUUAUUUAAUUGAAAUCAUUCCAUUUGUCAUUUACAUUAUCACAUAUCAUUAUAUGGUGAACACAUCAAAAAUUUUUUCCAAAGUGUUUUUAAAGACAAUAGUAUUUCACCUUAAGGAUAUACCAAAAUUAUUAUGUCACAAAUGUUGGAUAAGAGAAUGAAUGAAAAUGUUUAAUACAGGCCAGGCGUGGUGGCUCAAGCCUGUAAUCCCAGCACUUUGGGAGGCCAAGGCGAGCAGAUCACUUAAGCGUCAGGGGUUCAAGACCAGCCUGGCCAACAAGUUGAAACCCCAUCUCUAAAAAACAAAUAAAAAAUAAAAUAACAUUUUAAAAAAGAAAAUGUUUAAUACAAAAUUGAACAAGGUAGAGUGUAUUGCUUAAGGAAAUUAUACUCCUUUUUUUUUUUCUGACACAGGGUCUGGCUCUGUUGUCCAGGCUGGAGGGCAGUGGCAUGAUCACAGCUCACUGCAGCCUCAAUCUCCCAGGCUCAGGUGAUCCUCCAGCCUCAGCCUCCUGAGUACCUGGGAAUACAGGUGCCUGCCACCAUGUCCGGCUAACUUUUUUUUUUUUGUUUUUUUUUAUCUGUAGAGACAGGGUUUUGCCAUGUUGCCCAGGCUCGAACUCCUGGGAUCAAGAGAUCAACUCACCUCAGCCUCCCAAAGUGCUGGAAUUGCAGGUGUGAGCCACUGCACCCAGCCUCCAUUUUGUUUUUAAGAAAACAGUGUUUUAGCCAGCUGCAGAGGCUCAUGCCUGCAAUCUCAGCACUUUGGGAGGCUGAGGCAGGCAGAUCAUGAGGUCAGGAGAUGGAGACCAUCUUGGCCAACAUGGUAAAACCCCAUCUCUACUAAAAUACAAAAAAUUAGCAGGGUGUGGUGGCAUGCAUCUAUAAUCCCAGCUACUUGGGAGGCUGAGGCAGGGAAUCACUUGAACCAGGGAGGCGGAGGUUGCAGUGAGCUGAGAUGGCACCACUGCACUCCAGCCUGGCAACAAAGCCAGACAGGCAAACAGCAAGGAAGAAAAAAGAAAAGAAAAGAAUCUUCAGGGACUUCACACAAAAAAAGAAAAGAAGGGAAGGGAAGGGAAGAAGGAAAGGAAGGAAGGAAGGAAGGAAGGAAGGAAGGAAGGAAGGAAGGAAGGAAGGAAGGGAGGAAGGAAAUGAUGUUUCAGAUGUUUUUUCUCAAUAUCUCACUCACUGAUGCUUCCUGGGUGAUGACCCGAAGUUCCUCGGCUCUGGUUGCUGUUGCGAUCGAUCCUCCUCUUGGAGCACUGACAUACCUGCUUGUUUGAAUUACCUUUUUUCUCUCCUCAAGCCCAUUUUUAAGAAUCUAGUUGCUAGGACAAGCCCCUAAAUAGUUGUUGGUCAGAUAUAGUUAUCAGAAGAGCUGACUGAAUCACUUCUCUCUCCCUCUACAAAGAGAAAAGCCAGAAAGGUUUUAAACUGGACUGGUAAUGCCAGUUUUCCCAGAACUGGCUUCGUGCUAUCUGAUCACUAAGGCCCUGCACCGGGAGGAACCAGACUGGGCCCCUGGCAGCCACAUCCGGGUAGUACAGAACAGCUCAGUGCUGUUUAUCUGUGACCCUGGGGACAGAGGCUCAGUUCAGGGGCCCUGAAAGACUUUCCCGAUUGAACAAGAAUGGAAGUGUGAAAACGUGUAUUUGUUAAACAAGAUAAGUGAAGAUUGUUUCAUUUAGAAUGUGACUCGCCAGUGUAUUUCUUUGAUUACUUAGUUAUCUUGGUAUGUUCAAAAUAGUGCAACUUUCUUUUCGGAAGUUCUUUAUAUUAUUACAUUUAAAGAGAGUCCCAGAAGGACACCAGGCUUUAGGAUGGCUAGAAAUG
ensembl:lncRNA